rnacentral:rRNA from 1 species
UACGAAGGGGGCUAGCGUUGUUCGGAAUUACUGGGCGUAAAGCGCGCGCAGGCGGUCUUCCAAGUCAGUGGUGAAAGCCCGGAGUUCAACUCCGGAACUGCCAUUGAAACUGUUAGACUUGAGGAUGAGAGAGGUGAGUGGAAUUCCCAGUGUAGAGGUGAAAUUCGUAGAUAUCGGGAGGAACACCGGUGGCGAAGGCGGCUUCUGGACGAUAACUGACGCUGAGACGCGAAAGCGUGGGAGCAAACAGG